AGGCAAUAAUGAAGGAAUUACUCUCUCUACUUCAGUUGAACAGCAAAACUUAAGUGUGUCCCUUUGUUUCAGUUACAAAUAUAUUUCUCAGAUAAAGUGGGGAUUUCCCUUAGUUUCUAUUUUGUUUUCCUGUUUGAGAAUUUACAAAAACACCAGCUGUCCAUAUAUGAAAUGUUUUUUACUCACACCUGUUUUUUAAAUUUGACAGGCGCCAAGUCAUGUAGAAGCUUGUUAGCUCUCAUUACACCACUUGGAAAAAAAUGUUAUCAAGUAGAGCACAGCUUCCCCUUCAGCCUCAGUACUAAGCUUGAUCCUCUUCUGAUGCUUUCAUCAGUAUCUUGAAACCUCCCCACUACAAGAUUACUGUUGUCAGAGACUAUGGGAUGAAAUAAAUCCAGCUGAGUGGCAGACAUUAAGAUGAGGGUGCAGGUAGUAAAACUGUUCUUUUUUUAAUUGUUAAUCACACUUUAAAGUAUAACUGUAAGUUGUGUGUGUGCAGGUGUACAUGGCAUACACUGCUAUAUGCCAGAUGGUAUAUCUAACACCUAAAACAGGGAACUGUUCUGUGCUGACAGCAUGUUCUGGUUUGGUUCAAGGUCAAAGAAAUUAAUGAUAGUAUUUCCAACUCAAGCAGUUGAUCAGUUUUUCCAAGUGGCAGGAGGGACAAACUAUCCCCUACUUGGUGCUUACAGCACAAGUCAGUCAUCCCAGGUAGUUGUCUUCCCUCGGUAGUGAAGUUUCUAAAAUGGUCUUAGCUGUUUCUCAUAGCUCUGCAUGCAAGGGUACAAAAAUACCUACUUGAGUUUUUGCAAUGAUCCUGAUGCAGCACAAAUCUGUGCAAAAUCAAUUGACUUGAUGUACAGUUAUCUUACAUGUAUAGAAAGGAGUAGAAUAAAAUACCUUCUUACUGAUCUGUGUAGCAUUUGGUAAUUGUGUAUUUACAGAUCUACAGAGAAGUUCUUUCAAAACAUGCCUCAGCUUGGGAACAAUAAUAUGAAGCAAAAGAAUGGAGUCUGUAUGGUAUGCAUGGACUCAUUCCCAUAAGAAUAUGCAAGGCCAGUGCCAAAUGCCUCCACCCAAAUAUCUUAGAUGUUACUAAUUUGAUAAGAGGCUUUUUCCUGUUUUUGACUAGCCUGUGCAGUUUGAGUUAUCUGUGCUCAGUUCUCACAAAGAGUGUUUUUAGUGGCACAGGAGAUGUCUGCAGAGCAAAGAGCAAAAUGAAGAUGUAAUUGCAGCACAGAUACGUGCUGUGGAGGUGGCAGUGCUUGACCUUAGCACUUGAGCAUGACUGAAUGGUCAGCUGCUCUUCCCAGUAAGUCAGGCAAUGUAAGGCAGUCACAGUUAUCACUGCCAUGCUUCUUCAUGCAUAGUUGUCUGGGAUUGUUCAUUUGAUUGAGGUUUUUAUUUUGUGGAGGAGUGGAGAGAAGUACUUAUUACCCAAUUGUGAGGAGCUCCUCUUAGAGCAAGCUGGAAAGCUUUCCUAAGUGCAUGUACUUUAUAGUUGUUUAUUUGGGCAUAUGAGCAUCAGAUUGAUACUUUAUAGAGUUAAUAUGCUUAAUUCUUCAGGUGUUUUACACCUUCUGUGGUUUUUUUUUAUUAUUAUUAUUUUUAAGCAACCUAUUUCAGUUUGAAAAGAUAUGUCUGGAAAAGUUGAAGGCAGUGAUGCUGUCUGGUACCUAUUGCAUUCAUGUGGAUAGCGGUCAUGAAAGACAACAUUUUCCAUGGUAUAUUGUACGUCUACCCACAGAGUGGAGAGAAAAGCUGGAGAGGAUUAAAAGAUUAAACACAGCAACUGAAUUUUUAAUGAUAAAUGUGAAGUCAUUCUCAGGGAUGAAAUUGUUUAUCCCUCACUGGAGGAGAACUUCAGGAAAAACAGGAAACAAUUCUAUGUGGUUUCUUUUUUUUUUUUUGUUGCUGUUGUGUUUGUUUUUUUUACACUGAUAUUCUUCCCAAAUGUUCCUUCAUUGCUUAUUUUCAGCUGAUGACAUUUUUUUCCCUCUGAGUCUCAAGAGGUUUAAAGCAGGCUUUGAAUUACAAGUAUGAGGAAAUCACCCCUGAGAAACUGGAGUUUCAAAACUAAUGUUUCUGCAAAGAAGAAAGAAAAAGAAAUGUACAUGUCCUUUGGAUGGUCUGUAAUUCCAGCACAGUCUUUUCAGCAUUCCUUUCUCUGACAUGCAAAGUAUUUCCCAGGCUCCAUCCUGUUUCUAGGAUCUCUGUCAGACUGUGUGCAACUCAUAAAACAAAGGAAGUAGCAAUGUGACACUAUAAAACUUUCGCUUUGUAUUUUAUUGAAAGUAAAUAAUUCCCAAGUGACACAUCCUCAGCACACAGAAAAAUUGAGUAAAUUAGGGAGUUACAUUUCUUUUAUGGUGUGUGUAAAGAGCAAACGAACAAAAAGCAUUGGCCAACCUGUAGUGCUGUAUAUAAGUCCAGGUAUGAGCUACUGCUUAGAAGGCAGGACCAGCCACCAGUCCUGCUGGGCUCCCAGUUGUGCUUGGGGACCACCACUGCUGCUGCUUUGUUUGUUUGUUUGUGAUGGGGACAUUGGGUAUAGCAGAACUGUGCUGCUGGUCUGAUGACAGCAGGAUCAAUGCUGCUAAAUGAACUCCUCAAGGAAUAAAGAAAAACAAAUAUCUGAAUCAUAGUUCAAACACAGCUGAAAAUGAGCACUUUGGUCUCUGUGUCUAAAAACGCAAUGUUUUUAAUGCUAUUUUUUCUCUUGCUUCAGACACCUUUUGCAUGUUUCAAGAUUUGUUCCUGAUUAAUGUUUGUGGCCUAAGUUGUUGGAGAAUUCACCAACUCAUGAUCUUAGUUCAAACAAACAAACAAACAAACAAAAAAGCUCAGAGAUUACUUUAAUCUUAGCAUCAGACUGUAAGUACACACCUGUUUACAUAUCUAUUCAGGAAGAUGCCUGUUCUAACUGUUUUAGUGUUAAUGUAAUGGUACACGUAAUGUAAUCAGGCAGGUGUUACCUUCCUCUAUAAACAAAUAAUAUCCUGAGAACUGCUUACUGACCAAGAGUGAGCAAAUAAUGUAAAUGGGUGAGGAGUCUCUACGAGCAACUCCAUUCUGUAAGACCAUGACAACCACAAAAGAUCAAACUGUAGUGGAACUGUCCCUUUUGCUAACUGGUUAAACCAAUUAAGUUUCUUACUGCCAUCUGCUGUACGAAUGUGUCGAACCAGAGGGAAAUAAAAAUUGUCUUGGUUCUCAAAUAAAUGAAAAUGCUUCUGAAAAAGA